UCGGGAAUUUUGGGCAAUGGGGGAAACCCUGACCCAGCAACGCCGCGUGAAGGAUGAAGUAUUUCGGUAUGUAAACUUCGAAAGAAUAGGAAGAAUUAAUGACGGUACUAUUUAUAAGGUCCGGCUAACUACGUGCCAGCAGCCGCGGUAAUACGUAGGGACCAAGCGUUGUUCGGAUUUACUGGGCGUAAAGGGCGCGUAGGCGGCGCGGUAAGUCACUUGUGAAAUCUCUGAGCUUAACUCAGAACGGCCAAGUGAUACUGCAGUGCUAGAGUGUGGAAGGGGCAAUCGGAAUUCUUGGUGUAGCGGUGAAAUGCGUAGAUAUCAAGAGGAACACCUGAGGUGAAGACGGGUUGCUGGGCCAACACUGACGCUGAGGCGCGAAAGCCAGGGGAGCAAACGGGAUUAGAUACCCCGGUAGUCCUGGCCCUAAACGAUGAAUACUUGGUGUCUGGAGUUUUAAUGCUCCGGGUGCCGUCGCUAACGUUUUUAGUAUUCCGCCUGGGGAGUACGCUCGCAAGAG
rnacentral:rRNA from 1 species